UACGAAGGGUGCAAACGUUGCUCGGAAUUAUUGGGCGUAAAACGCACGUAGGCGGCUUAGCAAGUAGGAAGUGAAAUCCCACGGCUCAACCAUGGAAGUGCUUUCGAAACUGCUGAGCUUGAGUACAAAAGAGGAUCGCGGAAUUCCCGGUGUAGAGGUGAAAUUCGUAGAUAUCGGGAGGAACACCAGUGGCGAAGGCGGCGAUCUGGGUUGAUACUGACGCUGAGGUGCGAAAGCGUGGGGAGCAAACAGG
rnacentral:rRNA from 1 species